GCCAGGCGUGGUGGCUCACGCCUGUAAUCCCAGCCCUUUGGGAGGCCGAGGUGGGUGGAUCAUCUGAGGUCAGGAGUUCGAGACCAGCCUGGCCAAUACGGUGAAAUCCCAUCUCUA
rnacentral:SRP_RNA from 1 species